GGGAGGUAGUGACAAUAAAUAACAAUACGGGGUUCUUUCGGAUCUCGUAAUUGGAAUGAGUACAAUUUAAAUCUCUUAACGAGGAACAAUUGGAGGGCAAGUCUGGUGCCAGCAGCCGCGGUAAUUCCAGCUCCAAUAGCGUAUAUUAAAGUUGUUGCAGUUAAAAAGCUCGUAGUUGAAUUUCGGGGUCAGCAGGUUGGUCGUGCCACUGGUAUGCACUGGUCUCGCUGAUUCCUCCCUCUUGUAGAACCGUAAUGCCAUUAAGUUGGUGUUGCGGGGAAACAGGACUGUUACUUUGAAAAAAUUAGAGUGUUUAAAGCAGGCUAACGCUUGAAUACAUUAGCAUGGAAUAAUGAAAUAGGACGAUCGAUCCUAUUUUGUUGGUUUCUAGGGUUGACGUAAUGAUUAAUAGGGAUAGUUGGG
rnacentral:rRNA from 1 species